CCUACGGGAGGCAGCAGUGGGGAAUAUUGGGCAAUGGGCGCAAGCCUGACCCAGCAACGCCGCGUGAAGGAAGAAGGCUUUCGGGUUGUAAACUUCUUUUGUCAGGGAAGAGUAGAAGUCGGUGCCUGACGAAUAAGCCACGGCUAACUACGUGCCAGCAGCCACGGUAAUACGGAGGGGGCAAGCGUUCUCCGGAUUUACUGGGUGUAAAGGGCGUGUAGCCGGGUUGACAAGUCAGAUGUGAAAUCCUGGGGCUUAACCGCAGUACUGCAGGUGAAACUGUUGAUCUUGAGUACUGGAGAGGCAGGCGGAAUUCCUAGUGUAGCGGUGAAAUGCGUAGAUAUUAGGAGGAACACCAGUUGCGAAGGCGGUCUACUGGACAGCAACUGACGGUGAGGCGCGAAAGCGUGGGGAGCAAACAGGAUUAGAUACCCGGGUAGUC
rnacentral:rRNA from 1 species